GAGAAAAUGAUUUUAUUAUCAUUUAUAGAUGUGUUUCUUUUUAAUAGAUGUAUUUUUAUUAAGGUUUUCUCUGUAAUAGAAAACAAACUAUGUUUUGCAUUCUUUCUUUUAGCCACAUAGAUAGGAGAAGAGCACAAGCUGUACUUUGUGGUUUUGACACCUCCACCUCCAGUUCAGGGUGGUGGAAAGUUGUUUAUCUGUUUCAAACUCAGCUCUUACCUAUGUCUGGUUUUUUGGAUGUUUUCAGAUGUGUGUGUGUAUGUGUUAAAAUCCAUGACGUAUGUUGUCUUGCACUUAUCUUUUUGGGUGUCAACCCAUCUUAUAAAAAGAGCUUGCAGACAAAGAAUCGGAGAGAGACAGCUUGAGUAUUUCUUGAUGAGAAAUCUCUCUGGUUCUUUCCCUCGCGAGUGAUUUAAACCUGAAUUCUUGGUCUGACGUGUCUUAAUUAUUGUUAAGGUAAUUUGAAUAAACCUAACAUUUUGGUCCUUCGAGCCGGAUUCCAACAUACCCGGAGAUCAGCAGUGGAGGAGACAAGCCGAAGCCCGACGUCGGCCGAAUUCGUCUAAGAGUUCGAAGCAAAGCCCUGGGAGGUGAGAAUUCCUCGCCAGGCCGGCAUUUAGGUUUCCUCUGCUGAUGAUCCCGGAUUGACGGAAUUCGAAGCAAGACACAAAUCAGGCGCAGUGAAUUGGGUAAGUUGCUUUAUUGGUAUUUUAAUUGGUGGUUAGAGGCCCCAAUAAUCGUGGGUUAGAGGCCCCGGGAACUGUUGAACAGCUGAGGGUUAGAGGCCCCAGAAGCUGGAUUGGUGGUUAGAGUCCCCAAUUUGUAUGGGUUAGAGUCCCAGAUAACAGUCGAAUAGCCAAAAGAGGGUUAGAGGCCCCAAGAGCUAAAAUCCCGAAAUUCAAAUUUACUGAAGAAGUGUUUAUCCAAUAAUCGUGGGUUAGAGGCCCCGGGAACUGUUGAACAGCUGAGGGUUAGAUGCCCAAGAUGCUGAAUUGGUGGUUAGAGUCCCCAAUGUUUCUGGGUUAGAGUCCCAAAUAACAGUCGAACAGCCAGAGGGUUAGAGUCCCCAAGAGCUAAAAUCCCGAAAUUUUUUAUUUUACUGUAGUGAAGUGGUUAUUCUGUUUUUUUAUUUUGUUUUGAAAUAAGACUAGGGGAUCCUGAAGUAUCGCCCAAAAAGUAAACCCUGAAGUGUUUACUAAUAGAAUAGACCCUGAAGUGUUUGUUCUGUUGUCUUAGUUAAUGGGGAUCCUGAAGUAUCGCCCAGAAAGUAGACCCUGAAGUGUUUACUGAAAGAAUAGACCCUGAAAUGUUUAUUCUGUUUUUUUAAGGGAAUCCUGAAGUAUUGCCCUGUUGAUAGUAAAUCCUGAAGUAUUUACUGAAUGUUGUAAACCCAGAAGUGUUUACUGAGAAAUUGUUGAGAAUAAACCCUGAAGUGUUUAUUCUACUGUAUUUUUGCUGUGUUUUUGCUGCGUUAUUUGCUGUGUAUAUGUUUGUGAUGUGCUCAGUGUGCUGGAAAUCUAGCGGUGUUAACAAACCAGUUGUACGCUGAAGUAGGCACAUUGAGUGAUUUUUUUUAUCUGUGAAUCGAAAGUUGUAUUGUUGCAUUGUUGUAUUGCAAUUUGAAUCCCCGGGGAUCGCUAAAUGCAUGUGUGUGAUCGAAUAAUAGGUUAUGAUUCUGAAUAAUUUAGGAUCGCUAAUGAUUUUAGAUUGAGUAAUAAUUUGUGAUUGCUAAGAAUUUAUGAUUGCUAUUAAUUUGUGACUGCGUGGAUCGAGUAAUAAUUUGAGAAAAUUAGAAAUUGUUGUGGAUGUUUUAAGAAUGAUAAAUAAUUAAUAUAGUGAAAAUAAUAAAACAACCCCUGUAGUACGCACAACGGCGAUGGAGCCAGAUCCAAUCCCGUCCCCUGAAGCCUUAGCACAUGUUAUAUAUCAAUCAUACGCAGGGGCAAGAGUAGAUUUAGACAAAAUGAUUAAUAGAGCUCCCCAGUAUUAUAAUACCAUAACAGCGUGGCUCAGCAGAAGAGUAACAUGAUCAACACCUUUAAAGAUGUAAGAAAUCUAGAGGAAGCACAAGAUCUUUUGCAAAUUGCAUUAAAAGAGGAAGUUCAGUGGACAAUGAAAGCGAAUGGUGCUUUCGAUAAGAUCAAACAAGAAUUAGUUUCUUCCACUGUGUUUAGCUUUAAUUGAUUGCACUAAACAAUUUGUGCAAACCGUAGUUUGAAAAAUGAAAUUAAUGGCUUCCAUGUUGUUACAAAAACAUGGCACAAAGUUAAGACCUGUAGAUUUUUAUUCUAAGAAGUUAAAUAUGGUAUGGUAUACCAGCACUACCACCCUGUACAAGCAGUUUGUGCAGCAGCAAUGGGUGUAGAAGUAUCAGCUGAAAUUAUUUUAUUUCACCAUUUGAAAUUUUUAAUUACAUAGGCCUAUGUUGUAGAUAUUUUACUUUUAAAAACCUAAACUGAAGUUCUUAUCACCUGCUCGACAUAUGUCUUGUAUCACCGUGCUAAUCUCACAACCACACAUUCCCAUUCAGAGGUGUAAUACACUAAACCCAGCAAUUGUAGGAGAACCUCGUUGUUGUAUUGAACUAACAGAUCAAUUGGUUUUGGCCAGACCAGAUCUAAAAGACCAACCAUUAGAAGAGAGAGAAGUGUGGUUUGUAGAUGGUUCGUGUUAUAAAGAUAAAGCAGGCAAAACUAUCACAGGAUAUGCUGUGGUUAGCUCAUUAUAAAAGCCAGACAGUUGCUAAAUACACAUUCAGCACAAGCUGCAGAGAAAUAAUAGCUUUGAAAAAGAGCAUGUCUUUUGGGAAAAAGGCCAAUCAUUAACUGUCCAACCAGUUGUCAGUAAGCCUUUUCAAAUUUUUUUUUUUUAAAUUUUUUUUGUUGUUGUUUUUGUUUUUUGUUUGGUUGUGUAUUUGUUGUUUUUGAUUUGAAAAACAAUGGGAACUGAGAGGUAAGAAGACCUCUACGGGAAAGUCAAUAACUGAUAAUUAAUUGUUUGAGACAUGGGCUUUGCCAAUGUCUCAACAGGAGGGAGUAUAAAGUAAUUGAUGAACAUUUUAUAAUCUAUGGAUUUAAUUACUACUAAAAAAAAUUUUUUUUGUGAAGCAUGUACCAUAUGCAUAAAGCAUAAUGCACAAGGAAAUGUUAGAGUACUCAGAGGUAAAUUCCCGGAACCAGAAUACCCUUUUCAGAAUUUUUGUAUGGACUUCAUUGAAUUGAAUCAGAGUGCUCCAUACAAAUACUGAUUGCAUUCCUGAGAAAAUAUAUAGUAACAAUGGUGCCCAUUUUGUGAAUGAGGUAAUAAAGAGCAACAACCUAGAUAUCAUUUUAAAGAAUCAUUGUGCAUAUCAUCCACAAAUUGCAGGACUGGUGAAAUAAAUAAAUGUCACGGUAAAAGAAUAGGGAAAAAUAAAUAAAUAAAAUAAAUGUAUGGAUGAAACUGUACUGUUUUAGUGAAGUUAUAUAUCAGAAUAACUCUAACUGUGAAAUGACGUACUCCAUUAGAGAUAAGUUUUGGAAUGUCCCUGCUAACCUCCCCUUUGCAGAAGAAUGAAGAAGAAUAAAACUUUAGUGAUUAUUUAAAAGCAAUUUUUUCUAAAUGAGAAAUGUUACAAGCAAACAUACUGCCAGAUUUUCUCCUCUCUCUGUGAUACAGGAAGCAGCUGUCCAGCCAGGUGACUACAUCUUAAUCAAAGUCAUCAAACGAAAAACUGGUACAGCUCGAAGUGGGAAAGAUCUUAUCAAGUUCUUAUUACCACACCAACAGCAGUAAAGAUUGCAGAAAGACCUUCGUGGAUACAUCUCAGCCACAUCAAGAAACAGUUGGUUUGUUCUGUUCAGGACAGUGAAGUUGUUGUUUAGUUAAUCUAGGUAAGAGAAGUGUGGGUAAGUGAGUGGACCCGGAAGACUGUUUUUGUGACCCCUGUUUAUUUUUUACGGGAGCAAGGGAAGUUUAACCUAGAAGAUAUUGUAGGUAAAAUUAGUUAGCACUGUCCUGUCUACACAGAACAGAAGAAAUGGCUGAUUUUCUGAAAAUAAUCAUUGUGUGUGAUUCUAGCAACCAUGCUGGUGUGUGAGACCCCGCCUGGCUGGACGAAGCAAGAGAAGCAGGAUGAGCUUAAGAGAAAGGAGAGAGGCAAGUGGCAGCAGAUGAAAGAAGGAAAGUAUCAGAACACCUACGAGAUCAACACAGAAAUCACACAAACUGUUAUGUCUGUUCGAAGAUGCCCAAGUCUGGAAUGAAUCCGCAUGCAGUUCCUGAACCCGUUAUAAACGUUUCCUGAAUGUCUGUUAUCAGCUUAUUCACUGCAGUUUCUUAACAUGACUUUGCAAAACCGCCUGCCACCUCCUGUGGAUAUUAAGAAACUGACUUUUAAGAACUCUAUGAGCCUAACGUUUAAUGUUAGUGAUAAAAUGUAUGUUCCAGUCCACGUUCCUCCAAGUGGACAAUUUAUUUGUUAUGAGAACACUGUGACUUUGGGAGAUGAGAUUUAUCCUGGAAAAGUGCCCAAACAGAACUGUAAGCGCAUAUUCAUGCCUUGUACUAAAAAUCAAACAGGACAUUUUAGACAAUCCGAAGCUAACAGAGGAGUUAUGUGUACAAAUUAUUUCAACGCACCCAAUGCCAUGGGAACCACCCCACAGAUGAACUUUGUGUGGUUGUGUGGCUUAGACAUUUAUCAUCAUCUUUCUACUGGGUGGAAGGGCCGGUGUGCCCCGCCCUGCCAACAGAUCACUCUUUCAUCAUCACCGCGAAGGAAGCUCAACAUCGCACCAAACGAGAUCUCUACAAGAAACAGGACUCCCUGUGGGGAACGGAUGUACCCAACGACCACAAGCUAUGGUCCAACGGUCAGAAAGUUGGACUUGCGCUUUUUCCUUGGCUAGGAACUGGAAAACUUAUGCUGAGAAUGGAAACCAUUGACUGUCGAUUUGAGGUAUUCCUUAAUAGUACCACGGCAGCAUUGAAAGAUAUCAAAGAAGAAUUAACAGCCUAUGCAUGAUGGACAGGUAAUCAAACAGGCCAUUAACAACCUCACCAUGCUUCGUGAAGCCGUUGAGAAAGACUAUGUUACAGCUAAUGGUGUCUCCAAAUGGUUGUUUGGAGGGUUGUCGGGUAAACGCCUUAUGAAAGUGUGUGUUGUUCCUGAUUUGCAUGUAUCUGAGCUGUGUUUUACCCUGUGUUAUGAAAUUAAUGAGAAAAUGAUUCAUUCUAUGUUUUCAGACAUGUAUUUUAUGGGAAACUUUGCAGUGGAUGAUGAUUAUGAAGUAUUCUCACGAGUCAAUAUUUCAGUUAAAACUGAUACAAUGAUAUAAUGUUUUUGUUUGCUAUGCUUUUAUUUUUCUAUUAAAGAUAGUUGAUUACUAAAGUACAUUAGAAGGUAGCGGGGUGUAACUGAAAAAGAAACAGGAUAAAUGAUAAACAGGAGGGAAUGUUGGAGAAAAUGAUUUUAUUAUCAUUUAUAGAUGUGUUUCUUUUUAAUAGAUGUAUUUUUAUUAAGGUUUUCUCUGUAAUAGAAAACAAACUAUGUUUUGCAUUCUUUCUUUUAGCCACAUAGAUAGGAGAAGAGCACAAGCUGUACUUUGUGGUUUUGACACCUCCACCUCCAGUUCAGGGUGGUGGAAAGUUGUUUAUCUGUUUCAAACUCAGCUCUUACCUAUGUCUGGUUUUUUGGAUGUUUUCAGAUGUGUGUGUGUAUGUGUUAAAAUCCAUGACGUAUGUUGUCUUGCACUUAUCUUUUUGGGUGUCAACCCAUCUUAUAAAAAGAGCUUGCAGACAAAGAAUCGGAGAGAGACAGCUUGAGUAUUUCUUGAUGAGAAAUCUCUCUGGUUCUUUCCCUCGCGAGUGAUUUAAACCUGAA